rnacentral:lncRNA from 1 species
AGAAUGAUACGUAUACCAAUGCUGGUCUCGAGGUUCGGGAGGUUUGAAAGUUUUUUGGCUCUGCGAUGAUUCCGAGCUGCUAGAAUUGCGUAUGUAAUAAUCUUCGUCAUAAAACGGAGCAUCGAAAUCGAGGCGUCGUCUGACUGAAGGUGUCUCUUCCACCCACACUUUAGGGCCGAGCCUAUCAAAAACCCCUUGAUGUUGGCCUGCGUUGAUCACUUUUUGCUGUGUUGCGGCUGUAGGUUGUUCCAUUAUAG